GACGAACGCUGGCGGCGUGCUUAACACAUGCAAGUCGAACGGAAAGGCCCUUCGGGGUCCUCGAGUGGCGAACGGGUGAGUAACACGUGGGUGAUCUGCCCUGCACUUUGGGAUAAGCCUGGGAAACUGGGUCUAAUACCGAAUAGGACCACGCGCUUCAUGGUGUGUGGUGGAAAGCUUUUGCGGUGUGGGAUGGGCCCGCGGCCUAUCAGCUUGUUGGUGGGGUAAUGGCCUACCAAGGCGACGACGGGUAGCCGGCCUGAGAGGGUGACCGGCCACACUGGGACUGAGAUACGGCCCAGACUCCUACGGGAGGCAGCAGUGGGGAAUAUUGCACAAUGGGCGCAAGCCUGAUGCAGCGACGCCGCGUGAGGGAUGACGGCCUUCGGGUUGUAAAUCUCUUUCAAUAGGGACGAAGCGCAAGUGACGGUACCUAUAGAAGAAGCACCGGCCAACUACGUG
rnacentral:rRNA from 1 species